rnacentral:rRNA from 1 species
UACGAAGGGGGGCUAGCGUUGUUCGGAAUCACUGGGCGUAAAGGGCGCGUAGGCGGCUUUAUAAGUCGGGGGUGAAAGCCUGUGGCUCAACCACAGAAUUGCCUUCGAUACUGUAGAGCUUGAGACCGGAAGAGGUAAGUGGAACUGCGAGUGUAGAGGUGAAAUUCGUAGAUAUUCGCAAGAACACCAGUGGCGAAGGCGGCUUACUGGUCCGGUUCUGACGCUGAGGUGCGAAAGCGUGGGGGAGCAAACAGG